rnacentral:rRNA from 1 species
GACGAACGCUGGCGGCGUGCUUAACACAUGCAAGUCGAACGGAAAGGCCCUGCUUUUGUGGGGUGCUCGAGUGGCGAACGGGUGAGUAACACGUGAGUAACCUGCCCUUGACUUUGGGAUAACUUCAGGAAACUGGGGCUAAUACCGGAUAGGAGCUCCUGCUGCAUGGUGGGGGUUGGAAAGUUUCGGCGGUUGGGGAUGGACUCGCGGCUUAUCAGCUUGUUGGUGGGGUAGUGGCUUACCAAGGCUUUGACGGGUAGCCGGCCUGAGAGGGUGACCGGCCACAUUGGGACUGAGAUACGGCCCAGACUCCUACGGGAGGCAGCAGUGGGGAAUAUUGCACAAUGGGCGGAAGCCUGAUGCAGCAACGCCGCGUGCGGGAUGACGGCCUUCGGGUUGUAAACCGCUUUCGCCUGUGACGAAGCGUGAGUGACGGUAAUGGGUAAAGAAGCACCGGCUAUCUACGU